CCUACGGGUGGCUGCAGUGGGGAAUAUUGCGCAAUGGGCGAAAGCCUGACGCAGCGACGCCGCGUGAGUGAUGAAGGUCUUCGGAUCGUAAACCUCUGUCAGCGGGGAAGAACGGUCACUGUGCUAAUCAGCAGUGAAUUGACGGUACCUGCACAGGAAGCACCGGCUAACUCCGUGCCAGAAGCCGCGGUAAUACGGAGGGUGCGAGCGUUACUCGGAAUUACUGGGCGGAAAGCGCUCGUAGGCGGUAUGUCAAGUCAAGGGUGAAAUCCCGGGGCUCAACGUGGGAACUGCCUUUGAAACUGCGAAACUGGAGUGUGUGAGAGGAUAGUGGAAUUCCAGGGGUAGGAGUGAAAUCCGUAGAUAUCUGGAGGAACAUCAGUGGCGAAGGCGAUUAUCUGGAACAUAACUGACGCUGAGGAGCGAAAGCGUGGGUAGCAAACAGGAUUAGAUACCCCAGUAGUC
rnacentral:rRNA from 1 species